rnacentral:rRNA from 1 species
UAGGGAAUCUUCGGCAAUGGGGGCAACCCUGACCGAGCAACGCCGCGUGAGUGAAGAAGGUUUUCGGAUCGUAAAGCUCUGUUGUAAGAGAAGAACGUGUGUGAGAGUGGAAAGUUCACACAGUGACGGUAACUUACCAGAAAGGGACGGCUAACUACGUGCCAGCAGCCGCGGUAAUACGUAGGUCCCGAGCGUUGUCCGGAUUUAUUGGGCGUAAAGCGAGCGCAGGCGGUUUAAUAAGUCUGAAGUUAAAGGCAGUGGCUUAACCAUUGUUUGCUUUGGAAACUGUUAAACUUGAGUGCAGAAGGGGAGAGUGGAAUUCCAUGUGUAGCGGUGAAAUGCGUAGAUAUAUGGAGGAACACCGGUGGCGAAAGCGGCUCUCUGGUCUGUAACUGACGCUGAGGCUCGAAAGCGUGGGGAGCAAACAGG